AGCCUACUAGCUCAAUUGGCAGAGCAUUGUGCAAUUGCACAAAAGAUGUGGGUUCGAAUCCCACGUAGGUUC
rfam:Spinacia oleracea cultivar SynViroflay scaffold46752.con0001.1, whole genome shotgun sequence.